UUAGCUGGGGCCCUGGUGCUGGUGAGUGAGGACGAUAGUGGCCUGAACCUGGUGGGACAGACCCUGGGAGAGCAUUAGAAGGACAAUGACCCCAAGUGUUCGUGUGGCCGGUGCUUCUUUUCCAAAGUUUUCCCCAUUCUGGUCUUGCUCAGCCAGGUCACAGACGCCCCCCUUAUGGCCACCAAUUAAUUUCAACUUGUCUUAAAAUUUUAACGAUUUGCUAAUCGAUACGGACCAGGCAUCCCACCGCUGGUGUCUCAAAGUGAAAGGUAGAAGAACUGAAAUGCUGCCUGCAGGCAACUCAACUCCAGGUUACGCCUCCAGAGCCCUAGAUCCUCAAGGCUUCUACCCAGUUCCAGACUCCACAGAUGGGGUUCCCUCAGUUACGAUGCUCUUUCUACCAGGCUGGGCAAGUCCCAGAUUCCAGCACCACAAUCACCAUUUCUUGAGCAUGAAAUGAAGGUGCCAGGAACGGCGAAACCCCUCACCCACACCAUCAAUUGUAGUUCUCACAAGGACUCCACAAGGGAGGCGGUGUGAAGACAGCCCCGUUUUAUGGAUGAAGCUACUGAGGCCCAGAGUGGGUGGGCUGCCUGAAGGAGCCUUGUGAAGUAGGGGGUCUCCCUGAGGAGGGAACUGAGGCUCAGAGAGGGUCAGGAGCUCACCCAAAGCCAAACAGUAAUGUUUCUACUGCCAGGCUUUACUCCUACCUCAUCCAGUGGGGGCUGGACGUCUUCCACCCUCAUCCCCCAGCCAGGGUUGCUUUACAGGGAGUCUUUUAAAAUGACAAAUCAGAUCAUAUCACCCUUUGGCUGAAGGACUUCUGUGGCUGGUGAGGGGACUGUGACCAUCAGAGCCGAGUCUGUCUCAUGACCUCCGCGCCAGCCAGAUGCCAGCACCGGGGCAGCUGCAGCCACAGUGUAACUCCGAGGUCCCCGGAAGACACAUUUGCCGGCGGUGCUUGGGCUUCCCGUCACCUUCAGUCCUCACAACUACUCCUGUGGGUACACAGGGCUGCCCCUGUUUACACAGGAGCAAGCUGAGGCUCCCACAGGGGAAGCGUCGUACCCAGGCUCACACAGCUUGGAAAUGGCGGGUCCAGGCCCAGGGCUGCCUGCCUUCCUUCAGUCAGCCCCUCUGAGGUCUCAUUUCAGGAAGGCAGCGAGAUUGAUGUACUACUCUGCAGCCGGGCCCUGCUGUUCCCAGCUCUCUGGACCUGACUGGCUCUGCCAGCAAGUGUUUUAUUACUUAAAUCACAUCCAAUCAGUAUUACCCCUUUGGCUGGACACUGAGAGAUUGUUUCAGCCACCAAGGUGGAAAGUGAAAGAGGAAUUGCUGGAGAAAGAGGGGAAAAGAUCAGCUGGACAGAGGCGGGGGCGAACCGGGAGGCAGAGGAACCCUGUGGUCAAGGAGGCCGGCCAUGGAGCCAGGGCAAUAGGCUUCCAGCACAGCGAUCCCAUCACCGGCCCCCGGUGGCCCCCGAUGACUCCGAGCCUUGGCUUCCUCCUGGGUGAAAUGGCUCUGGAUGUGUCCAGCCUUCGGGUGGCUCCGUUUCUGGAAUUUUCACUGACGCUGACUCUGCGGGACCCUUUCACCGCCUCUCUCCUCCCAGCCUGUGCACGGCUGGUGGCUCCCCUGGGAGCUUCUGUCAUCCCGUGGCCUGCCCACCCCUGCGUAUCCCCCUGACCCGGGCUGAAAGGAAGCGCCUUCCGCCCCCACGCUGGACUGUCCACCCUGCUCUGCCCACAGUGGGUGCUCCCCUUCCCAGGGUGUUGCAUCCGUCCUGCUCGGUAUUGCUUCCUCAGCGCCUAGGACGGGGCCUGGCACAUAGUAGGUGCUUAGAAAGUGGGUGACAUUUAUUUAUUCACCAAGUAUGUCCUGAGCACCAGCUGCCUGCCAGGCCUUACCUGGGUGCUGGGGAGCCUGUGGACGAGGGGGAGCAGGACUCUUGGAGGCUCUGGUCGGCACCAUACUUUCUCCCUCUACCCUGAGGUGGUCUUGGCUUCCGUGUGCAUCAUCCACACCCCUCACCCCACAUCCCCUGGGCCCCAUCACCCCUUCUCCCACAGUAUUGUCCAUCACAGGGGAAGAGCAGACCUGGCCAUCUGUGACUGGGCAUGUGGCCCCAGUCUGUAGGUAGAGUCUCUGUGGAGACUGCCCUGGCCGUGCUGUGGGCGGUCUGGGUUGCGGUGCCUGGAUGGGUGGUUCUUGAGCUCAGCGGAGUGGUCAGGGCCUCGAUAGAGGGACAGGAGCCACUGUUGACAGCAGCGGGUGAGGCAGGCAAUAUAAAACAGACGUGAGUCAGUAUACAAAUGAAUUCCACAGAUUGGACUCCAGUUGGCUGGGGGAGUUGAGCAAAGCCAUGACCUUGGAGGGGCUUCUUGCUUCCAGGAAAGUCCCCCUCUGCCCUUGCAGUCAGAGCUGCCCCUGCUGCUGCUUCUAAUGCUAAUACUCUCUAUUCCCCAAGAUGCUCCGGCUCCCUGCUUCCUGGCUGCCUCUCCCCUGUCUGAGUUUAUCUAGUUCCUCAUUUGUUGGGUGGGGGAGGUGAGGUUCACAGACAAGACUGUAGCCUGCCUCUCAAUAAGGCACUCGAUACGUGCUGAAUUAAUGAAGACACUUAGACAAAGCACAGUGCUUGCUCUGUAAGAGUUUGCUUUGUACCAGAAAUAUCAUAGGCACCCAAGUAAUGAAUAAGAAACUGCCUUAGGAGGGAGCCAGAGGGUGGGGUACACAUACUGACUGUGUGACCUGGGUAGGUGCCGUCACCUCUCUGAGUCUCUGCGUCAUCUGCUGGUUGUGAGGAAUAAAUAGAGGAGGACA